UUACGGCUCCCGCCAAGAGAGUGGCGAGGUUUAUGAUCAUGCCAUCAACUCCAACGUCGCCGUUCGGAGCCACUAACGGCGGAGUUUGCGGGCCGUAAAUGGGCUGGUGAAAGGGCCAGGCGCAUUGGCCGGGGCACUGGACCACCGAGUUCCCAACCCACACGUAAGCCGUCUUUUUAUCCCGGUUGGAGCCGUGGGUCCCGCAGCGGCUACAGAAGCCGUCGACCGCCACGUCACUGGCAGUCAAAACAACGUUGAUGGCGUUCAACGCGUUGACUUUGCCGGCGAGGGCCACCAGGUGUCGGUUACGGAGGGACUUUCCGAGAGAGUAGGCCUCGUGGAGGAUUUGCCUGCCGACGAGGAGAUUGGUGGCGCCGCCCCUGUACUUCUCGGUGGUUUUCCACCAGGAGGAGGCGGAGGGGAGUGGGGAACGCCGGGGAGCGAGGGAGUGGAUGAAGUCGACGAUGAUGGACCUUUGGAUAGGAGUGAAGCUGCCGUACC
rnacentral:lncRNA from 1 species